rnacentral:rRNA from 2 species
AAAAGUUAAUACAACUUUCAACAACGGAUCUCUUGGCUCUCGCAUCGAUGAAGAACGCAGCGAAAUGCGAUAAGUAAUGUGAAUUGCAGAAUUCAGUGAAUCAUCGAAUCUUU